rnacentral:rRNA from 1 species
AGUGAACGCUGGCGGUAGGCCUAACACAUGCAAGUCGAACGGCAGCACAGUAAGAGCUUGCUCUUACGGGUGGCGAGUGGCGGACGGGUGAGGAAUACAUCGGAAUCUACUUUUUCGUGGGGAUAACGUAGGGAAACUUACGCUAAUACCGCAUACGACCUACGGGUGAAAGCAGGGGAUCUUCGGACCUUGCGCGAUUGAAUGAGCCGAUGUCGGAUUAGCUAGUUGGCGGGGUAAAGGCCCACCAAGGCGACGAUCCGUAGCUGGUCUGAGAGGAUGAUCAGCCACACUGGAACUGAGACACGGUCCAGACUCCUACGGGAGGCAGCAGUGGGGAAUAUUGGACAAUGGGCGCAAGCCUGAUCCAGCCAUACCGCGUGGGUGAAGAAGGCCUGCGGGUUGUAAAGCCCUUUUGUUGGGAAAGAAAAGCAGCAGGUUAAUACCCCGCUGUUCUGACGGUACCCAAAGAAUAAGCACCGGCGAACUUCGG